CGUACAGCUCACCCCUCGUGGCUAACCUGCCCUUGGGAUGGGGGCACCCCCGGGAAACUGGGGCUAAUCCCCGAUAGGUGAAGAACACUGGAAUGUGUCUUCGCCCAAAAGCCGUCGGAGCAUCUUCCGGCGGUGCCUAAGGAUGGGGCCGCGACCGAUCAGGUUGUUGGUGAGGUAAUGGCCCACCAAGCCUAUAACCGGUGCGGGCCGUGAGAGCGGAAGCCCGGAGAUGGGAACUGAGACAAGGUCCCAGGCCCUACGGGGCGCAGCAGGCGCGAAACCUCCGCAAUGCGCGAAAGCGUGACGGGGUUACCCCGAGUGCCGUCCGUUGAGGAUGGCUUUUCUCUAGCGUAAGGAACUGGGGGAAUAAAGGGGGGGCAAGUCUGGUGUCAGCCGCCGCGGUAAUACCAGCCCCCUGAGUGAUAGGGACGAUUAUUUAGCCUAAAGCGUCCGUAGCCGGUUUAGAAAGUCUUCCGUUAAAUCUGACGACUUAAUCGCCAGGCCUCGAAAGAUACUUCUAGACUAGAGGGCGGGAGAGGUUGACGGUAGUCCCGGAGUAGGGGUGAAAUCCUAUAAUCCCGGGAGGACCACCAGUGGCGAAGGCGGUCAACCAGAACGCGCCUGACGGUGAUGGACGAAAGCUGGGGGAGCGAACC
rnacentral:rRNA from 1 species